UUGGUAUCACAACUUCCUGGAUAAAUGCUGUACUAUAUAUACUUUUAUUAUAUUACAUAUUCUAUGUACUUUUGACCACUUAGCUUUUGAGACCAUUUUAUAUUGUCAGCCAUUUUUAUACUGAAUAGUAGUUUCAUUCUUGGCGUUCAAUGAUUAAGAAAAUACAUAAGGACAGUGCAUUCGGUCACAGUUUUAAAUAAAUUUGUUAGUGCUAAUGCAUAGAUGUGUAAUUGGAAAAUGCUACUCCACGUGUCUAUUCUGCCUGCAGUAAAUACUACCUAGAGCAAAUCUUGAUUUGAACUGCCUGGACAAUCAGCCACCACAAGAGAACUAGUAUUUAUUCCCCCUUUUAAGUUUUGGAAUAAUUCUGGAUUUACAUAAAUGUUGCAAAGUCAGUACAGAGAGGUCUCCCAUAUCCUUUACCCAGCCUCCCUGAUUGUCAGCAUCUAAAAUAACAUGGUACAUUUUUCAAAACUAAGAAACCAACAUUAGUAUAUUGCUAUUAACUAAACUCCAGACUAUAUUCAGAUUUCACUGUUUUGUUUUUUUUUUUCACUAAUUCUUUUUUCUGUUCCAGGAGCCAGUCCAGGAUACCACAUUGUAUUCUGUACCUUUCCAUUUUCAAUCAACCUACAGAUUGAUCAAUGCUAAAGAGAAGUCCCAUUCUGUGGGCAGUAAAUGACAGAAACCAAGUGGCUUACUAGUGGUAGGAUAAUCACAGGAUUUAAGUACACAUUUGGGUAGAAUUGACUUUUACAAGAGCACUCUAUUUUAUAGAAAGAAAAUGUAGACUCUAAAAUAGGCAGUCCUGUGUUUGAGUCCUAGUUUGGGAAUUACUAGUUUUAAGGUUUUGAUUAAUUUAUUUAAUAUCACUGAGCCUUAAUUUUUAUUUCAUCUGCAAAACUGAAAUAUACUUCAUAGGGCAAUAGGGAAGCUUAUAAAUAACAUAUGUGAAGUGUUUGGCUGUAAUAAGUGCUACUUCAAUGAUAAUUGCCAUUAUCAUAGCAUCUUGUGGGGCAGGCUUAUAAUCCAAGCUUGGGAGGAGGAUCCAUGUCGGGUCAUUUGCUAACCAGAGCAUAGCUCCCUUGUAAAACAGAUAGGUCAUUUUUAUUAUUCCAGUUUACUAUGGGGUUACAGCUCAGAUAUGCAACCCCUGAUUAAAGUGACACUAAGCAGGAGGAGACUUUUAGCCAUUUGCAUCUAAAUCUACCAUGACUCAUACAAAAAUUGCCUGGUUUCUGUUUAUAAAAUGAGGCUUUCUACCAACAUGCAUUGACAUUACCCUGCAGGUAUUUUACCAGAAAAUAAGCAUCUAACAAAUUAUAUUAUACAUAUUCGUUUUGAAUAUAUACAUAUAUAUAUAUAUAUAUAUAUAUAUAUAUAUAGUUUUAAAGUAUCGUUGACACUUUUUAAAGUACUUUCUGGUGAAUUUAUAUCUUGUUUUUUUUUAUUUUUUUGGUGACGGAAAACAAAGCUCCUUUCUGGAAAAUUACUCCAGCCUUGAUUUCUGCACGUCCCAGCCUAAGACAAAGAAAGCUGGAACAUUAUAAGUAUGGCUUAGGGAUAUUAGGGGAAAGGAAUCUGGAGUUUCUAUCCAGGGAGGCAGUGGGAUAUUUCCUUCACUCAGCAGCAUCAGCGGACUUGCAGCAGUGGGGUGCUGCUGGCCCAGGGUCUGAUGGAGCUGAAAAUUUCAAAUGCUUGAUAACUGCUAAAAAUUUAAAGCUGCAUUAGAAUCCAGACCAGAGCUUAGCGUAGGAGGAACAGCAAUUGACCCCAGGCCCUGGCACUUCUAAGUUGUCUCUUCUGCCUGAGUUCAUUGAGGAGUUAAUGGGAGAAGGGAGCCCUGGAUAAAAGUGCUCACCAGGAUGCAGAAAUGAGAGAAACUAAAGCAGCAGAGAAAACAGACCUGAGAAGUGGACUGAAGUAACUAUGGUGAAGGAGGGGCCCACACGCACCACAUGUGAGGCUUGGGACAGGGUCAGCCACCCCACUCUCAGAGCAGCUGGCCUUCCCAGACCCAGAAUCGCUUCUUCAUCCUCAAAGUAGAAACUAGGUCACGUCUCCAAAAAGGAGUUAAAAGUCUCAGCUGCAGAGAGACCCCACUAGGUGCAAUCAGCCAGUGCUCUGCUUCCCUUGGCUUCAUGUAGACCCUUCUUGGAACUCUGUAGCCACAUUUGGCCUCCACAGUUUAAGAGAAAUCAAGAAACUGGAGAGGUUCCAAAGGAGAGCAACAAACAUGAUUAGAAAGAGUGAGAAUAGGACCCAAGGGGUACAUUAACGAAAUUGGGGUUGAUUUGCCUGAAAUAGUAAAGACAAAAUGGGAACUGUAUUCAAGUACACGAGGUGGGACCAGUGUCCAGUUAUUUGCCAAUUUCAAGGGCACAGAAUAAGAGGCAAAGGGCCUAAUUUGCCACAAGAGAGAUUAGGUAAAGAUGGAGUUUCAAUAAGGCAUGCAGGUCUUGAGAUGGUUUUUCCUGCAGUUAUUAUAAAGUAGGUCUGGCCUCUCUCCCUAGGAAGAAACCUGCUAGAGAUUAGAUAGGGAGGCCAAGACUUGUCCCCAGAGCACCCUGGAGUCCUCCCCCAGCCUCCAAAAACCCCAGCCCUCCUGGCUUCUGGGAGCCCAUGCACCCUUGCAGGAACAGAAACCUGAUGGAUGAGUGGCCAGCCUGGGUGGUGGGGGUAGCUUUGCUUCCUCUGGAGAUUCUCUCCAAGAGCAAGAGCAAGCAUGACCUUUCAUCACAUCUUCUCUUUGAUGCAUUCAAGAUACAGCUACCAGCAGAGCCCCAGGUUCUUUGGCAACCAGUGAAAAAAUGUCUACAACUUCCAGAAACAGCAGUCCAGGUCAGAUCACUGUGUGACCGGCUAACCAUGCAGGGGAGAUACUCAGAGAGCCUUGUGAAUCUUCAUGGCCUGAGCCAGUUUUGCUUUGGGUGCUGUGGCCUGGUACCCAUGACUGCAAGCUCAGUCACUCAGUCAACCAUCCUUCAUGGAAGGAGUCAAGUCAAGAUGUACAACCAAGCAUGUGUGCCUGCCCAUCCCUCCUGCCCACAAGACACAGCACAAAAGACAUAUUUAUCUACAGAUAGAAUAACUGCGUGCUCCGUUGGCAAAUCAGGACUCUAGUGAGUGAAAGCGGCUACUGUUGAUAAGUACAGUAGGACAAAACUGGGACCCAUGGCCACCCUGUCUACACCUUGUAUUCAAAGCUGAUAAACAAGAAGGAUGACCUUCAUAUUAAAAUUAUCAAGACAUUUUGGAAGCUAGAAAAAUAUCUAGAAAUGGAAUGUUCGCCUUAUUAAAUGUAUAACAAUUA